rnacentral:lncRNA from 1 species
UUAUUACGAGAAAGUUACAUUUACAUGGAGCACCUUGUACCUAUUCUCCAAAAGAAACCAUCCAAGAGUUAUGUUUCUCUCUUCUUAAUUUCAUUACAUGAACAAAGUCUCUUACAUGACUCCAAUGACAAUCUCCGAGUCCUAGCACACAACAUGACUAACUAAUACCGACACAGCAAAAUUGCAUGCUAUUUUCGUGAUAAGUACCAUGUACGAACGUAGAACCCCGGGUACAUCUUUGUAGACCCAUGUAUCCAUUGAAUAAAAUAGCAUGACAAAAGAGAGCA